GAUGAACGCUGGCGGCGUGCCUAAUACAUGCAAGUCGAGCGAACAGACGAGGAGCUUGCUCCUCUGACGUUAGCGACGGACGGGUGAGUAACACGUGGAUAACCUACCUAUAAGACUGGGAUAACUUCGGGAAACCGGAGCUAAUACCGGAUAACAUGUUGAACCGCAUGGUUCAACAGUGAAAGACGGUCUUGCUGUCACUUAUAGAUGGAUCCGCGCCGCAUUAGCUAGUUGGUAAGGUAACGGCUUACCAAGGCAACGAUGCGUAGCCGACCUGAGAGGGUGAUCGGCCACACUGGAACUGAGACACGGUCCAGACUCCUACGGGAGGCAGCAGUAGGGAAUCUUCCGCAAUGGGCGAAAGCCUGACGGAGCAACGCCGCGUGAGUGAAGAAGGUCUUCGGAUCGUAAAACUCUGUUAUUAGGGAAGAACAAAUGUGUAAGUAACUAUGCACGUCUUGACGGUACCUAAUCAGAAAGCCACGGCUAACUACGUG
rnacentral:rRNA from 1 species